rnacentral:misc_RNA from 1 species
GAUGAAGAACGUAGCGAAAUGCGAUAAGUAAUGUGAAUUGCAGAAUUCCGUGAAUCAUCGAAUCUUUGAACGCAUAUUGCGCCCUCUGGUAUUCCGGGGGGCAUGCCUGUCCGAGCGUCAUUACUACCCUCAAGCACGGCUUGUUUGUUGAGUCAAUUGUUCUUUAAUAAUGGGGACAGGCUUGAAAUGCAGUGGCGAAUGCUAGGUUUGGUGCCCGAGUGUAUGGAGCUCUGUCACACGCUCUAGUGGCCCAGCGAGUGUUCUGUCAAAACCUUAAAAAAAGUUUAACCUAGAUUUGACCUCGGAUCAGGUAGGAAUACCCGCUGAACUUAAGCAUAUCAAUAAGCGGAGGA